AUUGAACGCUGGCGGCAUGCCUUACACAUGCAAGUCGAACGGCAGCACGGGAGCAAUCCUGGUGGCGAGUGGCGAACGGGUGAGUAAUAUAUCGGAACGUGCCCAGUCGUGGGGAUAACGUAGCGAAAGCUACGCUAAUACCGCAUACGAUCUAUGGAUGAAAGCGGGGGAUCGCAAGACCUCGCGCGAAUUGGAGCGGCCGAUAUCAGAUUAGGUAGUUGGUGAGGUAAAGGCUCACCAAGCCGACGAUCUGUAGCUGGUCUGAGAGGACGACCAGCCACACUGGGACUGAGACACGGCCCAGACUCCUACGGGA
rnacentral:rRNA from 1 species